GGUCAGUAGGUUGGUCGUGCCACCGGUACGUACUGGUCUCACUGAUUCCUCCUUCCUGAAGAACCGUAAUGCCAUUAAUUUGGUGUUGCGGGGAAACAGGACUGUUACUUUGAAAAAAUUAGAGUGUUUAAAGCAAGCUAACGCUUGAAUACAUUAGCAUGGAAUAAUGGAAUAGGACGAUCCAUCCUAUUUUGUUGGUUUCUAGGAUUGACGUA
rnacentral:rRNA from 1 species